GGGCCCGCACAAGCGGUGGAGCAUGUGGUUUAAUUCGAAGCUACGCGAAGAACCUUACCAGGUCUUGACAUCUUCUGCCAAUCUUAGAGAUAAGACGUUCCCUUCGGGGACAGAAUGACAGGUGGUGCAUGGUUGUCGUCAGCUCGUGUCGUGAGAUGUUGGGUUAAGUCCCGCAACGAGCGCAACCCUUAUUAUCAGUUGCCAGCAUUCAGUUGGGCACUCUGGUGAGACUGCCGGUGACAAACCGGAGGAAGGUGGGG
rnacentral:rRNA from 1 species